AAUAUAAUAAUAUUUUAAAGGUUUGAGUGGGUCAAAAAAUUUAUGGGGUCAUAUAGGUAAUUUAAUAUACAGUAUAUAAAGAGAUUUUUUUUUUUUUGAAAAAAAACUUGAGUGGGACCCCACUCACUUGCACCUAAAUCUGCCUUUGGGCACUAUUUGAGCAACUCCUCUCACCUUUGAUCAGUUCCUCAAAUGAGAUGAGAGUAAACAAAAGUUAUUACCUGUCCCCUCCAACCAAAAGCAAGAAUAAAAAUGGAUACAUAUAGAAUGAAUUUCUUUCUUGAAUAUUUUAAAAGCAUUUUGUCUAUUCCAUUAACUGAACAACAUCAAAAUAACAAUUUACAGAUUGAAGGUUAUCCAGCCUGCUUAUGUAAAAGCUCAGGAUAGUAGCAACAAAGAACCAGUUAAAGUCAACCAGAACUAAAACAAAUUUGUGUACUCGAAAAAUAUGGCAUAUUGAUAGUUCCAAAUAUAAUCAUUUUAAAUACAAGCCAGUAUCGAAUUUCCAGGAAAUUCUGGCCACAUGCAAUGCUGAAAGUAAAUAAUGAUUAUAAGGAUGAUCUUGCUAAUAAAAGACUGAUUUUACCUGGGUGCCACUUCCAUUGUCACUUCCAUCCCCAACAUUUAAACCAAUGCUUCCAU
rnacentral:misc_RNA from 1 species